GACGAACGCUGGCGGCGUGCCUAAUACAUGCAAGUAGAACGCACAGUUUAUACCGUAGCUUGCUACACCAUAGACUGUGAGUUGCGAACGGGUGAGUAACGCGUAGGUAACCUGCCUGGUAGCGGGGGAUAACUAUUGGAAACGAUAGCUAAUACCGCAUAAUAUUAAUUAUUGCAUGAUAAUUAAUUGAAAGGUGCAAUUGCACCACUACCAGAUGGACCUGCGUUGUAUUAGCUAGUAGGUGAGGUAACGGCUCACCUAGGCGACGAUACAUAGCCGACCUGGGAGGGUGAUCGGCCACACUGGGACUGGGACACGGCCCAGACCCCUACGGGAGGCAGCAGUAGGGGAUCUUCGGCAAUGGACGAAAGUCUGACCGAGCAACGCCGCGUGAGUGAAGAAGGUUUUCGGAUCGUAAAGCUCUGUUGUAAGAGAAGAACGGGUGUGAGAGUGGAAAGUUCACACUGUGACGGUAUCUUACCAGAAAGGGACGGCUAACUACGUG
rnacentral:rRNA from 1 species